AUUGAACGCUGGCGGCAGGCCUAACACAUGCAAGUCGAAUGGUAGCAGGAAACAGCUUGCUGUUUCGCUGACGAGUGGCGGACGGGUGAGUAAUGUCUGGGAAACUGCCUGAUGGAGGGGGAUAACUACUGGAAACGGUAGCUAAUACCGCAUAACGUCGCAAGACCAAAGAGGGGGACCUUCGGGCCUCUUGCCAUCAGAUGUGCCCAGAUGGGAUUAGCUAGUAGGUGGGGUAACGGCUCACCUAGGCGACGAUCCCUAGCUGGUCUGAGAGGAUGACCAGCCACACUGGAACUGAGACACGGUCCAGACUCCUACGGGAGGCAGCAGUGGGGAAUAUUGCACAAUGGGCGCAAGCCUGAUGCAGCCAUGCCGCGUGUAUGAAGAAGGCCUUCGGGUUGUAAAGUACUUUCAGCGGGGAGGAAGGGAGUAAAGUUAAUACCUUUGCUCAUUGACGUUACCCGCAGAAGAAGCACCGGCUAACUCCGUGCCAGCAGCCGCGGUAAUACGGAGGGUGCAAGCGUUAAUCGGAAUUACUGGGCGUAAAGCGCACGCAGGCGGUUUGUUAAGUCAGAUGUGAAAUCCCCGGGCUCAACCUGGGAACUGCAUCUGAUACUGGCAAGCUUGAGUCUCGUAGAGGGGGGUAGAAUUCCAGGUGUAGCGGUGAAAUGCGUAGAGAUCUGGAGGAAUACCGGUGGCGAAGGCGGCCCCCUGGACGAAGACUGACGCUCAGGUGCGAAAGCGUGGGGAGCAAACA
rnacentral:rRNA from 1 species